UACUAUUACUAAGCGGAAAGAGACAUUGGGACAAACCAGUAAAAAAAAAAAAGGGACAGGCGUCGUAUAGUAGAAAGUCCUCUAUUCUAUAAUGAGACAGCUCACAGUAUGGGGGUUACUAGCGGGCACAGUGUCCUUGUGUAGGGGAAUACCAGACCCACGCCACAGGCACAUUGGGUGACAGACUGGCACAGACUGCCGACAUCGGAGGAACAGCAUGGCGGCCCAACGCCUUACCCUGUGGCAAGUAUCAGUGAUGAACCACUCUCUGCCUCUUGCAAAGUUUCAUCGUCAAUAUCCUCCUGUGUGCCACAUGUGGAGCUGGCACAUACCCAAUGAUGCCUGGGCACCUGACACCAACUCCAUGACUGCGCACCAGGUGACUGUCAUGCCAUCGCAGAAUAACACAAUACCCCAGCUCAUCCCUCUGGCACCCCGACACAUCAAUGCAUAAGGUGCCUCAGAAUAAAGUUGAGAAAAGGUUUCCAGCAGCUUCCACACUCCAGACAAGGCGGCAGAUACCUGAAACCUUAGCAGGCCACAGAUAUCUUCUGAAAGCAGUGAAACUACUCCCCCUGGUGGUGUAAGAAGGCAUGACGUUCCUGGUAGAGAGGAGAAUGAGAUCCACACACCUCAAAUGGACAGGGGGCUUCUGUCUGACCUCUAUAACCUGCAUGACCCUGCAAUGAGUGUGACUGAGCUACAGAUGGCUGGUGGAACCACAGAAUGAAAACACGCGGGUGUAACCGGUGUGGCCGUCCGUGUUAUUAUAAGAAGGAACCAUGCCCCGAUCCCUGGCUCCCACUACUUACGCCGAUUGCCCAUUGGGACCGGUCUUGGUGGCUCGGAUGGGCUUCUUGGACAGAAGUGAAGUGACCUUCUUCGCAUCUCCCUUCUCCACAGCCUCCAAGAGCUUCUGGUCAUGCUUGUCCCACUUGUCUACCUGCAGGAGAGAUGGCACAGCACCUGUUCCCAGUGAAUGUCAUUGUGCGUCCCCCACCCACACCAGUGAGAUUGCUCCUACUACAUCCCCGCUCUCAGCAUAACAGCUGCCACCCUCACAGGAGGAGAUAAGAGGAGGCAGGUUGCAGACACCAGGCACCAAGGGUCACAGACACUCGACAGACACCUGAUCAGGGGCCAAAUCAGGCAGCCACCAAAUCCGUCAGCUCCCAUGGAGGUUUUAUCCAGUGGAAAGAUCAAGAAAGAUGAAGAACUAAACAUGGACUUCUAUACGACCCAAUUUUCUAGUCCCCUCUUGACCAGCACAGAGUGGCAGUAGCCAUGUUGUAGUCCGUACCAAAUAUUAAUGAAAAAUCAGCCCAUCAAAAAACCCGGAACGGUAACACACAGGAGUCCUUAGACAUAAAGACCACCAUUCUUAAAAUAUACAUCCGUAAUACAAUAGCUAACGAGCUUCUCUGACAGGUCCACACGAUCCCUUCAGAAAUGGAUUAGUGACACCUGUAAAAGCGUGUGGUAACACAAGUCCAAAUACCACAGUCCUCCGCCACUCUGCCCAGGCCUUAGGGCCUGUUUACAGGAUAAUGCUUAGCGUCACUCGGCAGAGCCAGUUUGUCUGGAAUGUCUAGCGGCCAUCUUGUUCCUCCACGAAAGUCUGCAAAGCUUGUCCUCAAACCGGUGCCUGUUCCUCAGCCAGGCUCUGGACUUCUUUCCUGUCUGGUGUACCACAAUACACCCUGUGCGCAGGCCCGAAAAUAAUGGCUCGAUCCCAUGCAUGUGCGUGCACAUGGGACUUUUCUAGGGCUGAGCUCUAAGUCCUGGGGCAUGACUGCACAACAAUGAACGCAAGUGUUCACCGCCAUCCCGAUGUACACUGUCUGCGGCCACAAGUGCGCGUUUUGCCAAAAAAAAAACAUCCCGAUGUACACUGUCUGCGGCCACAAGUGCACGUUUUGCCAAAAAAAAAAUCUUUUUUUUUUUUCACAACUUCAGACGUUUCAGAGUCUCAGAAUGAAAACCAAAUGCAGGUUGGGAUGGAUGGAGAGCAGAGCAUGUUUUAUCCAGAUGUGGGAACACUGCCCGGGAUUCCUGGAUGCACAGACGGAAAUCUCUACAUGUGGACGCCCAGCCGGCUCCGCCAGUCAGUCAGCUGUAAAAACCACGAGCUAGGCGCCAAGACGCGACGAUCCACCAUUUGCCUUCUCCGAAUAUAUUCACACUGAGCAAUGCUGCUGCAUUCCAGUAGCAUGUUCUGCAUUACCCCCUUUGCUGGGCGGCUGUGCCGCGUCUCCACUGCUGCCUUUUACGUCAUCUUUGAAGGAUCACCUAUGUGGAAAUGCGAGUUCUCUAUCCAAAGACGUACCGUUAAUAUUGACAAAAAAUGUUAUCUAGACCGUUCACAUGCGUUAUGCAGAUAAAAGUUUGACAUAAUGUUUUAAUGUCGGGGGCGGUGCAGGAAACUCUGCCAGUAAUCUAAUUAAGUACGCUACAGGAAGCCUUUGUGAGCCUAAAAUGUCAGAUAACAAUAAACAAUAAGAUAACACGCUCAAAUAUAGCAUCAGAGGUCUACGGUUCUCAUAAACUCUCCCAGUAAAGUAUCAUGUACAGCACGCACACCGUAUACUCAUUCACACUCGUAUAUACACAGGUUGAGUCUCCCGUCCCCAAAUUGCUUGGGACCAGAAGUACUUUGAAUAUUUGCAUCCCAUAAUGAGAUCUCUUGGGAAUGGGACCCAAGUCUAAACACGAAAUGAAUUUAUGUUUCAUAUACAGAUUAAAUGCAUAGCCUGAAGGUUAUUUUAUACAAUAUUUUUUAUGAUUUUAUGCAUGAAAGUAAGUUUGUGUACA